rnacentral:rRNA from 1 species
CCUACGGGAGGCAGCAGUGGGGAAUUUUGGACAAUGGGGGCAACCCUGAUCCAGCCAUGCCGCGUGAGUGAAGAAGGCCUUCGGGUUGUAAAGCUCUUUCGGGGACCGUGCGGUACUCGCAGAAGAAGCACCGGCUAACUACGUGCCAGCAGCCGCGGUAAUACGUAGGGUGCAGGCGUUAAUCGGAAUUACUGGGCGUAAAGCGUGCGCAGGCGGCUCCUUAAGUCAGAUGUGAAAGCCCCGGGCUUAACCUGGGAACUGCGUUUGAAACUGGGGAGCUGGAGUGUAGAAGAGGGGGGUGGAAUUCCAGGUGUAGCAGUGAAAUGCGUAGAGAUCUGGAGGAACACCGAUGGCGAAGGCAGCCCCCUGGGCUAAACUGACGCUCAUGCACGAAAGCGUGGGGAGCAAACAGGAUUAGAUACCCUUGUAGUC